rnacentral:lncRNA from 1 species
GGCCUAGAAAUAUGGAGAGCCCGCAGAGGUGAGGCUGAGCGGACCUGGAAGGGCGUCUGGAUCGUCCCCGUGGGUGGCUCCUGCGGGGCCGAUCGAAGCCCAGGAACGGGCUCGGAGGUGGAGGAGAGCGCCCACACGCGGGAACACGACGAGACUGGCAAAAGCCAGAUGAGCCUCACCGCGGCGUCUUCCGCCGACCCACGAUCCACGAAAGAGAGGCCACGGGCAAUCGAUCCACUGUGGCUUCCUCCCCCUUUAAAAAGCCGCUGUUCUCAAUGUGGAUGGCCCCCUGCGAGAGAGAGUGGGGGCAGGGGACAGUAGACGACGAAGAGGACGACGUGAAAUGGUGACCUGGAAAAGAAGAAAAUACCUGCCGGAUCAUCAUUGGGCAUGCAUGAAUUUUGACGAGUGGAUCAUCGCUUCUCCCCUGCAAGAAGGCAAAAAAUGAGCGCUUUUGAGCGAUCAUUCAGUAAAAUCCACAAGUGAAGCGGAGCUGGAUGGAUGGUCUCUCGUUGACUCGUCGAUCAGAGAGCGGGAACCCACCCAGAGUUCCCCUGGAGGAUCAAGGAACGGACGGAAUUUCUUCGGAUGCAAUCAAUCCCACCGUCCAAAUCAAGAAAAUAAACAGGCUCCAUCCACCAGACACCCGCGAGAUAAAAAUAAUUACCCUCCAAUCGGCAUCAAGAGGCAUCGAUUGAAAGGAAACCCAGUCUGCCCGGCUCGACUGCAAAAAAUCACUCACAAAAUCAUCGUCGUGCGGGCUACCGAUUGCAAGAGCCGAGAAGCAUCCCUCCGAAUCCAGAUGAAAGGAAAUCAAACAAGGCUGAUGAAUGGACUAAGGAAGGAUGGCUCAUAAAUGCGUGUUCCUUCCUGGCGGCGCGCGCCGGCGCAGCCGUGCUUCACGCCCCGGCUGGGAUAAAGGACGGGGAACUCAGAAUUUCACUCUGGAUGGUCAGUGCAUGAUCUGAUAAACUCGUAUCCAGUAUUUUCAGAGUCCUGCGUGCUCUCACCUGGAGACAGAACAUGCGCUGAAGAUGAUUCCAUACCCCCAAUCUGAAUCAUCAUCUGAAUAGUUUUGCAGGGUAGAGCAAAUAAGAACACUUGCCGAAUAAGGAUAAAUACUAUAUUUAAACUUAAUUUCAUAUUUAAGGAUAAAAUCAUGGCCAUACAUCUCCAUAAAUGAUAUUGAUACGUGCAGGGUAAUUUAAACGGUGCAUGCAGGAAUGCAUGCAAGACCAAAGCAUGUGAGUAUAGAGUGUGAAGAUGUUAUUCUAUGAAGGAGAAUUAUAUAAAAAAUCGUUCAUGUGCAAGAACCAGCGCGUCUGAAAUGCAUAACAGGUAACCUUGACAAGACGCCAAUAAUCGUUCAUGUGCUUAUAAAUUAAUGUUCCCCAAACUCCACGGAACCACAAUCAAGCAGCCCACCCACUCCAAUCUUCGCAUUCAUGCUUCCUUCUCUCUUUUUCCUCCACCCAAGAUCGAUCGAGUCCAGACUCGAAUUAACAGCAGAGAUUGAUGCAUAACCCCCCUCCCCCUGGGAGGCACAGAUCUCUGAUUCAGAGUGGAUCGUCAUGUUCCUGAAAGAGAGUUUCACGCCAGUGUUCUCCACAUUGCUCCAAGUUCAUCAGACGUCCCCAAGAGGGAAAUCCCAAUUCUCUGCGGUUCACCUGGUAUUAAGUUCAGAUCUGACUAAAACAAGGAUAUACAUGGAUCACUAUGGCAUUCAACGAAGGUGCAGCCGGCCAGGGGGGGGAAGGGGGGAGCUCGAAGCCGCCACCAAUCAAUCGGGGAGGUUUUCACCGUCCAAGCACAAGAUUAGAGAUCUGAGGAACCGAUUGAUUGAUUGAUUGAUCAUGUCAAGGAUCUUCGAUCAGGAAGGCUGAGGAGGAGUGCAAUCCAUCCUCCCGGCAGGGGAGGGGGGAAGAACUCGGCGUUGAUUUGACGGAGAGAUCGGGAAAUAGGGCUUUGGGAGAGCAGUGAUGCAGAGGAGCGGAGACUUUUCCUCCGAUGGUCACAUCAGACCGGCAGCCGCGGGCCGCAACGGACACCACAACCUAGGGCUCGUCAUCGUCCAUUCAUCGGAAGAUCAUAAAGAGGGCGUUCAGAUCCGCAGCGGAGAGAAGCUCACCUGGAAGAACGGAGCUGUCGAAUUGAAGUCGGCCGACGACCGCAGGAGCCGGGAGGAAGACUCUGGCGGCAUAUUCCAUCCCGGAUUCACACUCGGCGGGACUGCGCGCGUUCCCAUUCGACACAGGCAGGCCCCGUCUCUGGAAGAGCAGAAUCCAGAGAACGAGCGAGCGAGAGAGAGAGGGAGGGAGCGGGAGCGGGGGAAUGCCACGACAGAACGUCGUGGCUGCCAUUAUUAUCCCCGGCGAAACCCUAGACAAGCAGCACUAUCCCCCAGUGGC